GUCCACGCCCUAAACUAUGUCAACUGGUUGUCGGGGAAGCAAUUCCUUGGUAACGAAGCUAACGCGUGAAGUUGACCGCCUGGGGAGUACGGCCGCAAGGUUAAAACUCAAAGGAAUUGACUGGACCCGCACAAGCGGUGGAUUAUGUGGAUUAAUUCGAUGCAACGCGAAAAACCUUACCUACCCUUGACAUGUACGGAACCUCGCAGAGAUGUGAGGGUGCCCUAAAGGGAACCGUAACACAGGUGCUGCAUGGCUGUCGU
rnacentral:rRNA from 1 species